UACGGAGGGUGCAAGCGUUAUCCGGAUUCACUGGGUUUAAAGGGUGCGUAGGUGGGCUAGUAAGUCCGUGGUGAAAUCUCCAAGCUUAACUUGGAAACUGCCGUAGAUACUAUUAGUCUUGAAUAUUGUGGAGGUAAGCGGAAUAUGUCAUGUAGCGGUGAAAUGCUUAGAUAUGACAUAGAACACCGAUAGCGAAGGCAGCUUGCUACACAAUCAUUGACACUGAGGCACGAAAGCGUGGGGAUCAAACAGG
rnacentral:rRNA from 1 species